GGGGACCUAGCUCAGUGGUAGAGCGCUUGCCUAGCAAGCGCAAGGCCCUGCGUUCGGUCCCCA
rnacentral:tRNA from 1 species